AAUUUUCAAAAUAUAAUAUCAUGAUUCUCAGACAAAUAUAAAAUGAAAACGUCAACAUUUUAUUCAACUCAUUAUUAAUGAAGAAGUCUGUACAAUAUUACCGUUUGUUUUCAGAGGGGAAGCUAAAGAAUAGACAUGUACAUAAAUAAUCAGGAAUGUUGCAAGAAAUUUCCUAGUCAAUGCCAAACUGGUUAAUAUCUAUACAGCAAUAGAAUAGAGUGGGAUCAAUUAUAUCUCUACCAGAAAAAAAAUUAUUUGCAUUUUUAAAAAAUAUUUUUUCGUUGUAGAUGGACAUCAUAAAUUCAUUUACUUAUUUUAUUUAUUUUUUAAUGUGGUGCUGGGGAUUGAACCCAGUGCCUCAUACCUGUUAGGCAAGUGCUCCACCACUGAGCCACAACCCCAGCCCUAUAUUUGCAUUUUUGUGGACAAUAAUCAGUUACGCUCUACCUCAUGUUCAUUUGGAUGACUUCCAGCAAAGAGAGAGAAAGCCAACAAGUGUUGGUGAGGAUGUGGAAAAGUUAGAACUCCUGCACACUAUUGGUGGGUGUUUGUUACCUUUCUGCCACUGAGACAAAACACCUGAGAAAAACAACUAAAAGGAAGAGUGAGUUACUUUGGCUCGCAGUUCCAGAGGUCUCAGUCUACAGUCUAUUGGCCCAUCACUGUGGGCUUGUGGUGAGGAAGGGAGUGAUCGCGGGUGUCAUGAGACACAGCUGUCACCGCAUGGCAGCCAGAAAAGCAGAGAGAGGAGAGAGAGAAAAAGAGAGAGAGUAAAGGGGAGAAGGACAAAAUAUACCCUCCAAAGGCAAGGCCCCCAGUGACCCAUCUCUUCUAACCAGGACACCUAUCCCUGCAAAAAACUUUCCACCACCUCCCAGGAGUGCCACCAACUGAGGACCAAGCCUUCAGUCCAUCAGUCUUUGAAGGACGUCCAUAUCCAAACUCUAAUAGUGGGAAUGUAAAACAGGACAGCUACU
rnacentral:lncRNA from 1 species